UAGAGGAACUUUAAAAAAAAUUGUCAAGUCCAUCAUUAAAGGAAUAUUUUGUGUACGCUUCUCAGUGCAGCAACUACAAAAGGCUGAAGUUGAACGGGAAGACAGCAGGAACGAGAGAGCUAUCAUUAUGUAUAGCUACGAGAAUAUCGUCAGGUUAAUUGUUGGCCUGCAGAUCACGUUGAUGAUGCGAAAUAAGUUUCAGAAGAGCUGUGUGUUGGUUCUUAUUUACCUUUAGGAUGGUGCUUACUACAAGCGUAGAAGCAACGCCAAUACCGAACAUCAGCAGAUAUGGCAAAAAGUGCAAGUUGAUGCCCUGACGCUUCUUCAGCAAGGUACUCAGGAAGGACAGCUUACUUUCGGAGUAUGGUGGAUACCGGGAGCUGGAGGAAA